GUGUCAGCCGCCGCGGUAAUACAGAGGGUGCAAGCGUUGUUCGGAAUUAUUGGGCGUAAAGGGAGUGUAGGCGGUUUUUUAAGUCUUCUGUGAAAUCUUCGGGCUUAGCCUGACAAAGUGCAGGGGAAACUGAAAAGCUUGAGUGUCGGAGAGGAAAGCGGAAUUCCCGGUGUAGAGGUGAAAUUCGUAGAGAUCGGGAGGAACACCAGUGGCGAAGGCGGCUUUCUGGCUGACAACUGACGCUGAGACUCGAAAGCAUGGGGAGCAAACAGGAUUAGAUACCCUUGUAGUCC
rnacentral:rRNA from 1 species